rnacentral:tRNA from 1 species
UGGGGAGUGGUGUAAUCGGCAGCACUGGACACUUUGGAUGUCCCAGCCCAGGUUCGAACCCUGGCUCCCCAG